rnacentral:rRNA from 1 species
AGAGUUUGAUCCUGGCUCAGAAUGAACGCUGGCGGCGUGGAUUAGGCAUGCAAGUCGAGCGAGAAAGUGUUCUUCGGAUCACGAGUAAAGCGGCGACCUGGUGAGUACAAGGUGGGUUACCUGCCCCGAAGUGGGGGAUAACUGAUGGAAACAUCAGCUAAUACCGCAUGUGGACCCGGCGGACUUGUCCGCUGUGUCUAAAGUAGCAAUACGCUUCGGGAUGGGCCCGCCCCCAUUAGCUAGUUGGUAAGGUAACGGCUUACCAAGGCUACGAUGGGUAGCUGGUCUGAGAGGACGGUCAGCCACACUGGGACUGAGAUACGGCCCAGACUCCUAC